rnacentral:rRNA from 1 species
GGAGCUUGCUCUUCUUGGAUGAGUUGCGAACGGGUGAGUAACGCGUAGGUAACCUGCCUUGUAGCGGGGGAUAACUAUUGGAAACGAUAGCUAAUACCGCAUAACAAUGGAUGACACAUGUCAUUUAUUUGAAAGGGGCAAUUGCUCCACUACAAGAUGGACCUGCGUUGUAUUAGCUAGUAGGUGAGGUAAUGGCUCACCUAGGCGACGAUACAUAGCCGACCUGAGAGGGUGAUCGGCCACACUGGGACUGAGACACGGCCCAGACUCCUACGGGAGGCAGCAGUAGGGAAUCUUCGGCAAUGGGGGCAACCCUGACCGAGCAACGCCGCGUGAGUGAAGAAGGUUUUCGGAUCGUAAAGCUCUGUUGUAAGUCAAGAACGGGUGUGAGAGUGGAAAGUUCACACUGUGACGGUAGCUUACCAGAAAGGGACGGCUAACUACGUGCCAGCAGCCGCGGUAAUACGUAGGUCCCGAGCGUUGUCCGGAUUUAUUGGGCGUAAAGCGAGCGCAGGCGGUUUGAUAAGUCUGAAGUUAAAGGCUGUGGCUCAACCAUAGUUCGCUUUGGAAACUGUCAAACUUGAGUGCAGAAGGGGAGAGUGGAAUUCCAUGUGUAGCGGUGAAAUGCGUAGAUAUAUGGAGGAACACCGGUGGCGAAAGCGGCUCUCUGGUCUGUAACUGACGCUGAGGCUCGAAAGCGUGGGGAGCGAACAGGAUUAGAUACCCUGGUAGUCCACGCCGUAAACGAUGAGUGCUAGGUGUUGGAUCCUUUCCGGGAUUCAGUGCCGCAGCUAACGCAUUAAGCACUCCGCCUGGGGAGUACGACCGCAAGGUUGAAACUCAAAGGAAUUGACGGGGGCCCGCACAAGCGGUGGAGCAUGUGGUUUAAUUCGAAGCAACGCGAAGAACCUUACCAGGUCUUGACAUCCCGAUGCUAUUUCUAGAGAUAGAAAGUUACUUCGGUACAUCGGUGACAGGUGGUGCAUGGUUGUCGUCAGCUCGUGUCGUGAGAUGUUGGGUUAAGUCCCGCAACGAGCGCAACCCCUAUUGUUAGUUGCCAUCAUUCAGUUGGGCACUCUAGCGAGACUGCCGGUAAUAAACCGGAGGAAGGUGGGGAUGACGUCAAAUCAUCAUGCCCCUUAUGACCUGGGCUACACACGUGCUACAAUGGUUGGUACAACGAGUUGCGAGUCGGUGACGGCGAGCUAAUCUCUUAAAGCCAAUCUCAGUUCGGAUUGUAGGCUGCAACUCGCCUACAUGAAGUCGGAAUCGCUAGUAAUCGCGGAUCAGCACGCCGCGGUGAAUACGUUCCCGGGCCUUGUACACACCGCCCGUCACACCACGAGAGUUUGUAACACCCGAAGUCGGUGAG